rnacentral:rRNA from 1 species
CGAGCGGCGAACGGGUGAGUAACACGUGAGCAACCUGCCCCUGACUCUGGGAUAAGCGGUGGAAACGCCGUCUAAUACCGGAUACGACCCGCCACCUCAUGGUGGAGGGUGGAAAGUUUUUCGGUCAGGGAUGGGCUCGCGGCCUAUCAGCUUGUUGGUGGGGUAACGGCCUACCAAGGCGAUUACGGGUAGCCGGCCUGAGAGGGCGACCGGCCACACUGGGACUGAGACACGGCCCAGACUCCUGCGGGAGGCAGCAGUGGGGAAUAUUGCGCAAUGGGCGAAAGCCUGACGCAGCGACGCCGCGUGGGGGAUGACGGCCUUCGGGUUGUAAACCUCUUUUACCACCAACGCAGGCUCCAAGUUUUCUUGAGGUUGACGGUAGGUGGGGAAUAAGGACCGGCUAACUACGUGCCAGCAGCCGCGGUAAUACGUAGGGUCCGAGCGUUGUCCGGAAUUAUUGGGCGUAAAGAGCUCGUAGGCGGCGUGUCGCGUCUGCUGUGAAAGACCGGGGCUUAACUCCGG